CGUGAGUGAUGAAGGCUUUCGGGUCGUAAAGCUCUGUCAAGUGGGAAGAAACCACAUGGUGCCAAUACCAUCAUGUGUUGACGGUACCGCUGAAGGAAGCACCGGCUAACUCCGUGCCAGCAGCCGCGGUAAUACGGGGGGUGCAAGCGUUAUUCGGAAUUACUGGGCGUAAAGAGCGCGUAGGCGGUCCUUUAAGUCGGAUGUGAAAGCCCGGGGCUUAACCCCGGAAGUGCACUCGAAACUAUGGGACUUGAGUAUGGGAGAGGGAAGUGGAAUUCCUGGUGUAGCGGUGAAAUGCGUAGAUAUCAGGAGGAACAUCGGUGGCGAAGGCGACUUCCUGGACCAAUACUGACGCUGAGGCGCGAAGGCGUGGGGAGCAAACAGGAUUAGAUACCCUGGUAGUCCACGCAGUAAACGGUGAUCACUAGGUGUAGCGGGUAUUGACCCCUGCUGUGCCGCAGCAAACGCAUUAA
rnacentral:rRNA from 1 species